CGAAUAGCUCAGUGUUGUUCUAAACACGGAGGUGAAAAGGUGUUUUUGUAAACAAGACAUUUCGAAAUGUAGCAAAUGACUCUGACAAGAUUUCACUCCAAGAGCUACAGCCCUAUCGAUUCAAAGUGGUUUCAAUACAUCAGUGAUGACGAUUUGAUAACACUCACUCUCUUUCGAUAGAUAAAUCAAGUCUGUUACUGUGUAAAACAAAGACAAAAAAAGGUAUUAGAUAUUAUUAAUGGCGCUAAAUCCCGUAUUAUACAGCAUUCAAUAAAUCAGUAAAUGCAAUCCCUUACGUGUUCUAUUAUUACAAAUGUGUUGAAAUAAUCAGUGUUGGCACAUCAUUCAAUUCUGGAUUCAACUCUCUAGGCAGUAAAUUUUUUGGAACCAUUCGGAUUAAGCUUGUUUUCUAGCACUUAUUUUGUGUGAAUCAGCAUCGUAAUAUCAGUAUAAAUACAAAUGAUUAAAUAAAAACCUGGAUAUUUUGAUUUGUAAGCAAAACACGGUGAUUUCGUUGUCAUAUUAGAAUCACGAAACGAUUAAGGGUAAAAAACAGAUAAAUUCCCAAGUAAAGUUUUCAAUCGAAAUUGUGUAAACUUCGAUCUAGUUGUAUAAGAUAACUUUUGUUUGUGUAAGCGUUGCACGAUCAUUAAACUUGAAUAAAAACAAAAUCUUUCUUCAGUGACAUUAGUUUUAGUGUUUUAAACUGUUCGUGUUGAGACGAAGUGGGUUGUAUCAAACCGGCUUUGUAGAUGUAACGAAACGACUUACGUUUGAAUCAAAACGACAGGAAGAGGACCCAGGAAUCACUUUCAGCACCAAAAUAUCUAUACUGACCCUGAGGUACAGCAAUGCUAUUCGACAAUCUCGACGAGGCCAGAGCAGGAAUUGGCAGCUGAACUUGGUUCUUUGUCACAUGACAUUCUGAGCGAACUAAAAAAAUAAAAAAAUCAAUAAAUACAAUAAAAUAAGCAAUUAGGGAUGUGCUCAUGGUGUAUAAGGAAGCUGGGAGAUGAAAUACUACUGUGGAAUUUUAGUCAACAGAAUCACUACGAGUUGAAUGAAAUUAAGAGAAGACUGCAACCAUAAUUACUACCGCUGGAAACAACAACAAUAUGAAAGGCUAUGACACUAGACAUCUUAAUUAUAAUAUAAGAAUGAAGAUCAUAAGCAAGAAACAUCAAGAAAGGUGACAUGGAGAUUUAUCAUUGUAAUCACACAAAUGAAAAACAGAAAUAAGAUAUGACAAGCUGCAAUACUAAGUAAACGUCCCUAGUCAGAAACUUACCUCAGCCAGGAUUGCUGUGUGGCACAUACUCCCAACAUAGGCCAGACCUUCUUCUUCCAAGGUUAGGCUGGUCAGGACCAGAAGGUUGAGAAGCUAUCAGAGUCAAACUUAGCGAGGCUUUGUCUGGGGAACAGACCUGCUAUCAGAGCAGGUCUGUUCCCAGCUUUUUGGUUUGCUGCUAUUAUUUAGGAACGCUGUGACUGGGAAUCUUGUUAUUCCAUUUAUGAGUCAUUUGACUACCUUACAAAGUCAAGCAUCCUCCAGGUAUUAUGUAUCCAUGGAGAUCAUAAUAACAGCCACUGGUUUCACCACUUCACAAGAAAGGAUAUGUGGUUUAACUAUAAUGUGAUUAUACUCGGCUUAUUGGGCAAGCCACAAUCAAGUCAUUCCUUGGUAGCCACAUACAGUGCCAAAGACUUCAACAGUCAUUUUCAGAGUACAUAUCCCCCUGCCAAGCACCUACCCUCUCCAACUGUUGAAUAAAGGAAAUAUAACAAGGAGUGGCUGGGUAUUGGCAUUUUGCAUGUGGCCGUUCUGCUGCUGUAAGGCAACUUUUCACGGCACUAGGUGGUGAAGGCAAGAUAAUGUUCAAGUAUACCGAGCAGAAACCCACAACUUAAUCGUCUGACAAUAGUCUCACAUUGGUUGGUCACUCUUCCCAAAGGCAAAUGAACCCUAAACACAGAAAGCAGAGUGCUUCUGGGAAUCUAGACCACUGGCUAUAGAUGGACUUUUUUCAGCCAGUUAAACCCACGCUGCAGAAGGGCAAUCAUGGGUGUUAACUGAUAAACAAACACUUCAAAGAGCACAAACAACUCUCUAUAGCCCUUAAGGUAUUGCCCCUGGGGCAAUAAAUUAGCUCUUGUAUGCCCUCUCCACUCAUGGAAAACAAUGGCUGCUAGCAUGGCUCUCACCACCUGUGUGACGUACACCUGUAUAGGACAAUUGACAUAGGAAGCGUUACAUCCCAGUGCAGUGCAUCAGUAAUAUUCAGGAUGGCAUCCUGUAAUUACAAGAGCUAGGAAGCCAUUAUUCUUCAGGUAGGCUAAUGGCUAGGGAAAUAUCGAACAAGUCUGGUAUCCAGUUACUCCGGCCAUUUAACCACAUGUUGCCCAUGAGUGGAGUAUGCUAAACUGCAAUGUUUGUGCUUAGGCUACAUAAGUUUGAAUGCUAGCAAGUGUUGGAAAAGCCUCAGAUUAAGAGAAUAUAACUGAAAAUGGAAUGUUUUAUAUCAGUGAUCACUUGCCACAGAAAAAAAUACAAAAUUAGAUAAGACUACAGAAGCAAGUUUAUAUGAGAAUACAGUUUUAUUAUUAAAAAACAGUGGGAACUAAACUAUUAAGGGAUCAGAUUCCAAACACCUGAAUUAAUAGAAUGCUAGCAAUGGAAAACUUUUUAAGUAAGAACAUAAAAAAUUAAAAAUUUUAACAGCUACCUGUAAAUAUAUUCAAGUGUUAAAAAGGAAAAUGAAAAUGUGGUAUGGGAGUUCAACCCAAGCUGCAGCCCCUUAGUUAUUGCCCUGGGGCAAUGAAUUAAGACUUUGUCUGACCUUUCCAUUCAUGGCUGACAACAGCUGCUAGCAUGGCUCUCACCACCUAUGGGUCGAACCCCGGCACAGGAUAACACUGAUAUAAGAAUUAUUGCAUCCCUGUGCAGUGUAUUAGUAAGUUAUAGGGUGGUAUUCAGAAAUUACUCGAGCUGGGAAGCCAUAAUUCUUUAGCUAGGCUAAUCGCUAGGGAAAUAAUUAGCAGGCCUGAACCCCAGUAACUCCAAUUAUACCCAUACGUUACCCAUGAAUGGAGUGUGAUAAACUGUAAUGCUUGUGCCUAGGCCAUGACAGACACAUGAUACAAAAGUUUGAAUCUUAGAAAGAGUUGAGAAGGCCUCCGGUUAAGAGAAUACAAUUGGAAUUGAAAAUAUUUUAUAUCGGUGAUCACUUGCCACAGAAAGACAAAAUGCAGAAUUAGAUAAGACUGCAGAAACAGAUUUCCAUCAGAAUACAGCUUUUUAACUUUCAUCAGCGGGAACUAAACUAUUAAGAGAGCAGAUCCCAAACGCCCAUAAGAUAGCAGCAAUGGAAACAUUUUUAAUCAAGAACAUAAAUAAGUGGACAGAAAAAACAGAUGUGGUAUUGGAGUGUUUAAUCGCCCAAAGAAACUGAAAGCUAUGAAGAAGGACAUUUGUAAAAAUAUUUAUGAAUCCAUCUUUAAUUAUCUGCUUUAAAGUAUGUCUAUGCAUAGGAUCACGGAGGAAUGAGGAAUAGUGAAACCAGGUUACAAUGCAGAUAUUUAAAAAUCAAUGUUUGAAUAGGAGCCACAGACUAUUCAGUAAUUUCUGCAAUAUCUUAGGAGAUAUGAAAAUAUGGACAUAAGUUUUGUGACAAUGGUGUUUUAGUUUUUCAAGACAAUAGUACAUGAACACUGGUGAAGGGACCUGCUUGACAAGCCAAAUGGAGGGCCUCCAUUAAACAAAGAAGGAGAAACCACAUCUCAGGAGUAUAUUCCAUCAAAACCUGGAUGAUCUUGGGAAAGUGUCUGCAGUUUUCAAGCACCAGUGAGACAAGCAGAAAUAGACUCAAGCCUCACCUUGGAAUUCUACAACUAACUUCAAGAGGCGACUACAGUUUUACCUGACCAAAAUUGAACAAACUGGCAAAAUGUAGAAAACUUUGACCUUAUUAACAUAUAUGUUGAGAAGUGUCACACUUUCAUAGAGAGAUUGCAAUCUUAACCUCUCUUGACUAUUAGAACUAGAUUAGGGUUAAAUUUACAGUAUUGCACAAGUGUUUUAUCAAAGUCAUUACAGGCUGUUGACCCGAAGUUUAGUAAGAGUUCAUCUUACUGCUUGUAAUUUUUGUGUUCUGUAGGAACUUAGAAAUCUGUAUCAAAUAAUGCAGUUCACUGUGAUUCAGGACUUUAUAUAGUUUAUCACUUGAACCUGCUACUAGUUUAAUAUUUUAGGAUAUAUAUCUACCACAUUUAUCUCAUUAAUCUGGUAUUGGCCAUCGGGUAGUUCAGUAUCAUUCAAGAGACACGAACAUUUUUAUGCUUGAAAUUCACAUCCCUUAAGUAUUACCUAAGCAUUAAUUUAGUCUUUGUGAGUUCAGAACCGACCAACCUACAGGAUAGUAGUUUUCUUGUUAUGGUUUCUUAUCAAUUUAAUAUCAACGGUCAGCUAGCUGGAUAUGUUGCGGAAUAUACUUUAUUUUCCUCUCUGAUUUCCUCUAUCAUUAAUUAAGUAGCUCAGUGUUUCUUGAUAUAUACUGCUCAAUUAAUUUUCUUAUCAGUUCAAUAAUAGCUAUGGGAUACUUUGCAAUACUUCGGUAUACAUAACAUUUUUACAUAAGAUUCAUAAGUUUAUGUCAAGUACUUGUGUACAUUUUUAAUUCUCAACAUUUUAACAUUGGCUAUUGGCUCGAUAUUUUUCAGAUUAUAUAAGUUUUUCCUUUUAAAUUUUCGCAUCAGUCGAAUAUUAGCUGUCAAGUAGUUCCGUAUGUCCCCAGAUAUAUUUUGUUUUACCUGUUUUUUCAUGAAUCUAGUAUCAGUUUGAUAACAGAUACAAAGAGCUUAGUAUAUCCGGAUACAUAGGUAAUUUCCUUGAUUAUAUUAGCUAUCUGUCAUACUUCAGGAUACAUUUUUAUUUACGCAAGAUUCAUUGAUUAAACCUUUCUCUCUCUCUCUCUCUCUCUCUCUCUCUCUCUCUCUCUCUCUCUCUCUCUCUCUCUCUCUCUCUCUCUCUCUCUCUCUCUGUUUUUACUUAAAUAUCAAACGAGUUAAAUACAGUUGUUUUACAAUGCAUUUUUUUCUUUAAUUUCAAAUCACUGUUUGCAGCUAUCAAUUACCUUAGUGAGAUUAAGAUAGUAGGUAUCAUUACUGUCAGUCAAUAUCCUGAAGUUCAUUCAUGACCAUAGCAAAAAGUCUAUCAGUUAGAAUUGCUUUUAGGCAAUAUCUUCGUGGUGGUUAGCAUAGUUAGGAAUAGUUGCCUGGAAUAAAAUCUGUGAUGUCGUAACCUUUAUAGAACAGGUGUCAUUUUCGGCAAAAGGACAAAUCACUUCUGAUAUUUUAUCUCGAUAAGUCUCAUAUAUAUUUUCCAACUUGCUUCCAUCACAGUAGGAACUUUAAAUCAAGCUUAAAUAUUUCUCCAUUGUUUGUGGCUUUGAUUUAUAUCAAAGUUUUGUAAUUCUUUCGAAGUCUUGCUUUAUUGUAAUGUUAUGUUAAACCCUGUUAACUCAUAAUUUAAAAAUAAGUUUACUGAAAGGCUUUGUGCAAUACAAGAGAGUUGUCGUAGCCUGAAGCAUUUACACGUUUGCACUGUAAAAACAGGGUAUAUUUUAUUAGUUUCAUCUCUGAUUUGAUGACAGAUGGAUAACUUAUUAUAUUUAAGAGAUUAAACUAUACUGUUUGAGUUUUGUACAAAACUUGCCAUGAAAAUAAUGCAUCUUGCCUAACAUUAAACCAAUGAAAAGUUCAAUACUGUAUGUACUGGAGAUUAUCUUAUCAAGGGCAUUAUCAUCAUAAUAUCUGGAUAUUUCAAGACACUGCUAGCACAGGAAGGGUACAAACUGAAGCGUUACUCCUAGGGCAGUUUGGCUUAGUUGCCAUAUGUAUUGCAAGUAAAUUAUUUAAUAAGUAAACUCAAAUUCAAAGCAUUACUUUGAAAGGGAAUUCGGAACUAUUAACAAUGAUAUUUUAGGUAAAUGAUUUGGUCAGUACUAAUUUUGUUUUUUCUGAAAAUUACUCGAGGUAAAUUAUCAUGUGCUUACAAACUGAAUUGGUCACUUUAAAUGAGGUUAGGUAUUAAAAAUAAUGGUGUUUUAGGUAAAAGAGUAAGUAAACUCGAAAGUGUCCCCUUUGAAGGGGACUUUAACAAGGAUAUUUCUGGUAUGCGAAUAAAUAACCAUUUUCAGUUAAUAGAGGAGCUUAAUGUUCAAUUGAAACAUAAACAUCUGUAAAAGUAAAAUCUUCAUAAGAACCAGUCAAUAACAUUUUCACUGAAGCACUAAGUAUUUCCCAGACUUCUAUUACAGAAGGAAAAUUUCUUUCUCAGUGGACUACUUAGCUAGAAGGAACGUUGCUAUUUAAUUAACAACUGUUUUUAUUCUGUCUUGUGAGACGAGUUAUUCAUACAUAUAUCUUUCAAGCUUCUAACAAAGAGUUGAUUUUCCAUGAAAGUGGUAAACGGGUAAGGUUAGGUUAAAGAAGUUAAACAUCAAAGUGAAAGACUAAAGGGAUGGGAAGUAAGGAAUAUCCCUGAACUGUAACCAAGUACCAGACCUUCCCUGAAAAAAUCUGGAAGCCAUAUCUUAAAAACUAAACGUAUAACCUUCUUGAAAAUAAUCUCUUAUGUUUCCCACACCCAAAUUACAGGCGAAAUCAGUCGGUUAACUAACAUAUUUUUUAGCCUAGCAAACAAACCAUGAUUGAUGCAAUACGAGUACUAGGCUAUGCAUCUCGGGGACUUGAACGGGAAGUAAGGGAGAAGAUUUUCUAUAGUCAGAUUUUUAUUGUGUGCAUCCUUAUCCUUAAGAAUAAUCCUCAGAAAUAAAUUUUAACAGGAUAGUUUUGUCUUAGCUUAGGAACUAACUUAAUUAGGACAAUGUAUGUAGUUCCAUUUUAAUAAUGUAUUUCUUAGAUGCUUUUGGAUUUCUUAACGUAAAUUGUGUGAGAAAUUCACGUUUUUUCUUUUUUAUUUUGUGAGUUAUUGGUUUUGUAAAAUCUAGAAUCACAAGUGCUACAGUGUCUUGACAUAUGGAGAUUUUUUAUAUUAACUUGUUUCGUACAAUUCCCAUUGAAUUUAUAUAAUUUGAUAACAUCAAAGUUCAGGUUAGUGUUUAUUGUUAAAAAUCUAACUUAAAUUUGAACAAUGGGAAAAAUUACUGUAAUACCAAACUAUAUUGAUUUUACUGUGAAAGGACUUCUGUAUUUCAGCAUUCUGCUCAGUUCUCAUGAAGUAGCCUUCACUUAGCGUCUCCUUUGUAUACAUGUCUUGUAGACUCAGUUAUACAAAUUUUCCUUUCGCAGGAAUCUCAAGUGCCAAUAUUUUAUUUUGGAAGGCUAUAAGUAUAGAAAUGGGAUAUUUUCGCAAAUUUACCUAAAUAAUAUAUAGGACAUUAUUCAUCUACUUCCUCUCAGUCUUCCAUUCUGACUAGACUUCUUUCUUUACUUGACGAAGCAUGAACUUUCCUUCUUUACGAACAUGAAAUCACACACUGCACAUUCGGGAACAUUUCUUCAGUAUCCUGUUAAAGCUGCGACGUAGACACUUUGUAG